GACGAACGCUGGCGGCGUGCCUAAUACAUGCAAGUAGAACGCUGAAGGAGGAGCUUGCUUCUCUGGAUGAGUUGCGAACGGGUGAGUAACGCGUAGGUAACCUGCCUGGUAGCGGGGGAUAACUAUUGGAAACGAUAGCUAAUACCGCAUAAGAGUAGAUGUUGCAUGACAUUUGCUUAAAAGGUGCAAUUGCAUCACUACCAGAUGGACCUGCGUUGUAUUAGCUAGUUGGUGGGGUAACGGCUCACCAAGGCGACGAUACAUAGCCGACCUGAGAGGGGGAUCGGCCAAACUGGGACUGAGACACGGCCCAGAGUGCUUCGGGAGGCAGCAGGAGGGAAUCUUCGGCAAGGGACGGAAGUCUGACCGAGCAACGCGGCGGGAGUGAAGAAGGUUUUCGGAUCGUAAAGCUCUGUUGUAAGAGAAGAAAGAGUGUGAGAGUGGAAAGUUCACACUGUGACGGUAUCUUACCAGAAAGGGACGGCUAACUACGUG
rnacentral:rRNA from 1 species